rnacentral:rRNA from 1 species
AUCAUGGCUCAGGACGAACGCUGGCGGCGUGCUUAACACAUGCAAGUCGAACGAGGAUUAUUGAGCGGAAGGCUUCGGCCGGAAGGUUGAUAAUUCGAGUGGCGGACGGGUGAGUAACGCGUGAACAAUCUGUCCCAGACAGGGGGAUAACACUUGGAAACAGGUGCUAAUACCGCAUAAGACCACAGAAUCGCAUGGUACAGGGGUAAAAGGAGCAAUCCGGUUUGGGGUGAGUUCGCGUCCGAUUAGCCAGUUGGGGGGUAACGGCCCACCAAAGCGACGAUCGGUAGCCGACCUGAGAGGGUGAUCGGCCACAUUGGAACUGAGAGACGGUCCAAACUCCUACGGGAGGCAGCAGUGGGGAAUAUUGGGCAAUGGGCGAAAGCCCUGACCCAGCAACGCCGCGUGAGGGAAGAAGGGUUUCGGCUCGUAAACCUCUGUCCUAUGGGACGAAGGAAGUGACGGUACCAUAGGAGGAAGCCCCGGCUAACUACGUGCCAGCCGCAGC